rnacentral:tRNA from 1 species
GGGGUUGUAGCUCAGUGGUAGAGUACUCACCUAGCACAUGUGAGGCACUGGGUUCAAUCCUCAACACCA